rnacentral:rRNA from 1 species
UAAGGAAUAUUGGACAAUGGCCGCAAGGCUGAUCCAGCCAUCCAGCGUGCAGGAAGAAGGCCCUAUGGGUUGUAAACUGCUUUUGUCAGGGAAGAAACCUUUGGAUUUACUCCGAAGCUGACGGUACCUGAAGAAUAAGCACCGGCUAACUCCGUG